GACAGAGGGUGCAAACGUUGUUCGGAAUUACUGGGCGUAAAGCGCGUGUAGGCGGCCCUGCAAGUCGGGUGUGAAAUCCCACGGCUCAACCGUGGAAGUGCACUCGAAACUGCAGGGCUAGAGUCCUGGAGAGGAAGGUGGAAUGCUUGGUGUAGAGGUGAAAUUCGUAGAUAUCAAGCGGAACACCGGUGGCGAAGGCGGCCUUCUGGGACAGUGACUGACGCUGAGACGCGAAAGCGGUGGGGAGCAAACAGGGAUUAAGAAA
rnacentral:rRNA from 1 species